UACGUAGGGUGCAAGCGUUAAUCGGAAUUACUGGGCGUAAAGGGCUUGUAGGCGGCCAACUAAGUCCGACGUGAAAUCCCCAGGCUUAACCUGGGAACUGCGUCGGAUACUGGAUGGCUUGAAUUCGGGAGAGGGAUGCAGAAUUCCAGGUGUAGCGGUGAAAUGCGUAGAUAUCUGGAGGAAUACCGGUGGCGAAGGCGGCAUCCUGGACCGACAUUGACGCUGAGGAGCGAAAGCUAGGGGAGCAAACGGG
rnacentral:rRNA from 1 species